rnacentral:lncRNA from 1 species
AGUAUAAUUAUGUGUUGAUGAAUAUAGUUAUAUGUUUCAGAAUCUUUGUAUAAUUAUAUGAUGAGUUAAAAUUACAUGUUGUUGAUGUGAUAUGUGAUGUGGUUUUAUAAUGUGUUGCGAAUAUAAUUAUAUGUGUUUGUGUUCAAGUGAGUAGUUCCGAAGUGGGGACUACUGUCAUACCCCAAUUUUGUCCGGACAUUUCAA